rnacentral:misc_RNA from 1 species
UACAGAGGGUGCGAGCGUUAAUCGGAUUUACUGGGCGUAAAGGGUGCGUAGGCGGUUCGGUAUGUCAGGCGUGAAAUCUCACCGUCCAACGGUGAAACUGCGUUUGAAACUGCCGGACUAGAGUACAGGAGGGGAGAGCGGAAUUCUCGGUGUAGCGGUGAAAUGCGUAGAUAUCGAGAAGAACACCGGCGGCGAAGGCGGCUCUCUGGACUGAUACUGACGCUGAGGCACGAAAGCUGGGGGAGCGAACAGG